UUAACUGAAACCAAAGAGAGGUAUAUUAUUGUUAAUAAUAAAAUUGAAUUAAAAUUCCGGUUAAG
rnacentral:tRNA from 1 species